AAGGCUAGUUUGUGUGAUGGACUGGGCUGUGUUCACAACUCUCUGUAGUUUCUUACAGUUUUGUGCAGAGCAGUAACGGGAUAGGAGAAGCUAGGAUUGUUUACCUUGGAGCAAAAGAGGUUGGGGAGUGAUGGGAUGGGGGGAAGGCUUGAAGUUUUCAAAGUUACAAAGAUUUUUCUCACGUCGAUAAGGAGAAAGUGUAUCCAGUGGCGGGAGGGACACAGAAAUAAAUGAAUUGACCAAAGAACCAGUGAGGAGGUGAGAAGUUGUUUGAAGCAGCAUUGUGUUGUGAUUGGGAAUGCACCUCUGGUAAGGGCAGUGGAGACAGAUUCUGUCAUAGCGUACACAGGAGAAUUGGGCCAAUAGUUGAUAAAGAAAUGCUUGCAGGAGCGCGGGGGUAGGAGCAGCAAAGAACAGUACAGGAGAAAUGGGCCAAAUGGUCUCCUUUGCACUAUGAUUCUGUGACAAGUGAAUGCCAUUGGAAAGGGAAACUUGAGAAUAUUGUUGCUUUGGAAAUGUUGUCAGGUUUAGUUGUGUUCAGACUCAAGUCUCAAGCCUUAUGAAGCCUGUUCCUUUGCAGUGUUCAACAGAGGAUUGAGUGGGCUGCCCCAGGCACCAGGAGGAAUGGGAGAUGGUGGUGUGUGAUGGAGAUAACGGGGAUCGGUACAGAUAUGGAAAUAAACAUAUUGUCAGCUGAUGUAAAGUCAUAGGCAGGAGAACGAGGAAACAAAUACAGCAGUGGCUAGCAAACUGUUUUAAUUUCCUGUUUAAAUAGGUCAGCGUUGAUGUAGCCUGUAUCUCACUGAGGUACGUCUGGAGCUGAUUGAAUUCCUCAGUUUGUUUCCAGCCUGGCUGCCAACCAGUUUUUCUUUGAUUGAAAGACAAAUGCUGCACCCGCAAGUAACAGCUGCAUCGGCAGAGUUCCUCUCAAGGGCACAGCCUGCAGGGGCCAGGCACACUGUUAACGGAUGGAUUUAUCCUGUUCAAAGUGCUUCGAGAGAGGGAGUAUCUGUGCGUUGGGCAGAAGGGGUUAUUGAGGCUGGACAGGCUGCGGCACCUUGCCAUACAAACCCGGAGACACAGGGGCAAAGAAGGCAAGAGCCUUCAAAUUCGAAUCAGAUCAGGAAGCAGCCGUUCACAUAGGGGGCUGGAAAUCUGAAACAUCGAGACUCCAAGCAUGAUAUUGUCCAGGAAGGGGCCAUUCAGACUAUCAACUCCGUGACAGAGACAGAAAAGAGAAAAGACGAAGUGUUGAGAGAGAGAGACAGCUUCUAGAUCACUGGAUCCAGUAACAUAAUUACAGCACCUUCCACCUGACCCAUGGACCAAUGGUAUCUCCAACUGACUGAUGUGUCAGUCUCAGCCCCUCUUUCUCUCACGAUCUGUGACUGCUUUGACCUGGAAAUGUUCCUGUGAAGGACUUUGGGAUACCUUGGAAUAUGGAUGUGAAUAUAGAACCCAGCUGAACAGGAUGGACUCCAAUUAUAUGCCAAAAAUAAUUGAUCCUUAAUUACGCCCUAAAGUGGCUGAACAAGCCACUCAGUAUAAAACUGCUAAAAGAAUUCAAGUCAACUACAAAAACAGAGAUUGCUGGAAAAGCUCAGUAGGUCUGGCAGCAUCUGUGGAGAGGAAUUAGAGUUAAUGUUUCAGGUCGAAUUACCCUUCCUCAGGAAGGGACAUUCUGGGGAAGAUCAAUUGAUCGCAAAAAAUGCAUCAUUCGCCGACAUUUCCGCCACCUCCAAACGGACCCCACCACCAGGGAUAUACUUUCCUCCCCACCCUUUCCACCUUC